GAUGAACGCUAGCGGCAGGCCUAACACAUGCAAGUCGAGGGGUAACAGGAGAGAGCUUGCUUUCUUGCUGACGACCGGCGCACGGGUGCGUAACGGGUAUACAAUCUACCUCAUACUGGGGAAUAGCCCGGAGAAAUUCGGAUUAAUGCCCCAUAAUAUAUUUGAUUCGCAUGUUUUAAAUAUUAAAGAUUUAUCGGUAUGAGAUGAGUAUGCUUCCCAUUAGCUAGUUGGUAAGGUAAUGGCUUACCAAGGCUACGAUGGGUAGGGGGCCUGAGAGGGUAGUCCCCCACACUGGUACUGAGACACGGACCAG
rnacentral:rRNA from 1 species